rnacentral:rRNA from 1 species
UUAGUGGCGGACGGGUGAGUAACGCGUGGGUAACCUGCCUUACACAGGGGGAUAACACUUAGAAAUAGGUGCUAAAACCGCAUAAGCGCACAGCUUUGCAUGAAGCAGUGUGAAAAACUCCGGUGGUGUAAGAUGGACCCGCGUCUGAUUAGCUUGUUGGCGGGGUAACGGCCCACCAAGGCGACGAUCAGUAGCCGGCCUGAGAGGGCGGACGGCCACAUUGGGACUGAGACACGGCCCAGACUCCUACGGAAGGCAGCAG